GGUUAAAAACCUAUAAAAGUCUCCAUGUCUCAACAGAAUGGUGACUCAGGGUAGCAGAAUGUGAGAAACUUCUUGUGCUUCUUUCACUGUGGCUAAAGAGGACAAUGUGGCUAGAGAAGACUGAAGGCUGGAUUGCUUCAAGCUGUUUUGUUUCAGCUGCAGUGAGGAACAAUGCCUGAAGCUGGGAAAGGGAUUGAGACAACAUGAUGGAGGUGCAAGAAACUUCAGAGGAAGGUGCUUGGUUAAAGACCUGGAGGUAUGGAAGUGUCCAGUCUGUCUUCAAGGCCUAACAGUGAAUGAAGACCAGAACCCAUGUCUCCAUGUUUUCCAUAGAUCAAGAGAAGGGAACUGUUAACAGACGACGGAGGAACUGGAAUGAGACGGUGCAAGUGCGGUGGAAGUCAACUUUACUGGAAGGUAGGUUUGGGUGUACAAGGAUGGCUCUUCCUCUUCAGUUGAAGACCAGAUGGAAAGGGCGUGCCUCCUAUUUUCACAGGUAAG
rnacentral:lncRNA from 1 species